rnacentral:rRNA from 1 species
UACGUAGGGUGCGAGCGUUUGUCCGGAAUUAUUGGGCGUAAAGGGCUCGUAGGCGGUUUGUCGCGUCGGGAGUGAAAUCCACUGGCUUAACUGGUGGCUUGCUUUCGAUACGGGCAGACUAGAGUUCGGCAGGGGAGACUGGAAUUCCUGGUGUAGCGGUGAAAUGCGCAGAUAUCAGGAGGAACACCGGUGGCGAAGGCGGGUCUCUGGGCAAUAACUGACGCUGAGGAGCGAAAGCGUGGGGGAGCGAACAGG